rnacentral:sRNA from 1 species
GCUGCUGCUAAUUUCGUCACACACAAAAACAGUGGGGCAGCAUAGAAGCAGUAGACAAGACAAAAAUAAUGCAUAUGUAAUCUAACCUACAGAACAAAUGACUAGAAAAAAGACUUUGUAAACGAAUAACUGACAGAACAUCAAAACGUAUUCAGCACAGCACGUAUCCGGGCCAGUUUGGUUGGGCUGUUGCUGGAUAAUGGCUAAUACAUUGAAUAUUGAAUACUGUUUGAUUUA